AUCAAGCAGGAUGAAGAUGAUGAAGAUGACGAGAAUGAGGAAGGUGGACUGAGUAAAUCUGGCAAGGAGUUGAAGAAGCUUCUUGGGAGAGCUGGUGGACUGAAUGAUUCAGAUGCAGAUGGCGACGAUGAUGAUGAGGAUAUGGAGGAAGAUGAUCUUUCUCCUGUAUUGGCUCCAAAGAAGGAUGCACCUAAGGAGGAACCUGCUGAUAACAGUCCUGCAAAACCAAUGCCUUCUGGUUCUGCUAAAGGGACCCCAUCUACUUCCAAGUCUGCAAAGGGAAAAAGAAAAUUAAAUGGUGAUGAU
rnacentral:misc_RNA from 1 species